rnacentral:rRNA from 1 species
UACGUAGGGUGCAAGCGUUGUCCGGAUUUAUUGGGUUUAAAGGGUGCGUAGGCGGCCUGUUAAGUCAGUGGUGAAAUCCAACAGCUCAACUGUUGAUGUGCCAAUGAUACUGACAGGCUUGAGUACAGACGAGGUAGGCGGAAUUGACAGUGUAGCGGUGAAAUGCAUAGAUAUUGUCAAGAACACCGAUAGCGAAGGCAGCUUACUGGGCUGUAACUGACGCUGAGGCGCGAAAGCGUGGGGAGCAAACGGG